rnacentral:rRNA from 1 species
CAGCAGCCGCGGGAACACGAAGGGUGCAAGCGUUAAUCGGAAUUACUGGGCGUAAAGCGUGCGUAGGUGGUGGUUUAAGUCCGUUGUGAAAGCCCUGGGCUCAACCUGGGAAUUGCAGUGGAUACUGGAUCACUAGAGUGUGGUAGAGGAUAGUGGAAUUUCCGGUGUACCAGUGAAAUGCGUAGAGAUCGGAAGGAACAUCUGUGGCGAAGGCGACUAUCUGGGCCAACACUGACACUGAGGCACGAGAGCGUGGGGAGCAAACAGGAUUAGAUACCCCUGUAGUCCCUGUCUCUUAUAC